UACGGAGGGUGCAAGCGUUAUCCGGAAUUAUUGGGCGUAAAGGGCGCGCAGGCGGCUUCCUAAGUCUGAUGUGAAAGGCCACGGCUCAACCGUGGAAUGGCAUUGGAAACUGGGGAGCUUGAGUACAGGAGAGGAGAGUGGAAUUCCACGUGUAGCGGUGAAAUGCGUAGAUAUGUGGAGGAACACCAGUGGCGAAGGCGGCUCUCUGGCCUGUAACUGACGCUGAGGCGCGAAAGCGUGGGGAGCAAACAGG
rnacentral:misc_RNA from 1 species